CAAGCGUCCCAACAAUAUGACAAAUACCGACGCGUCAAAAGGCGUCGUCGUAUAAACUCUCUAUUGUAUCAAAUUAAUUUAUUAAAUGAUAAAAUUUACAAAUUAUUUUUAAUUUUCUGACGUUUUAAGGCGUUAGGACUUAAAGAAUAUCCUAAAAAUUCUAAUACUUUAAAACAUCAAAAUAUAUUUUAUCGAUACUUGGCAUAACCAUUGAUAUAUACGAGACGGCUCUUUAUUUAUCAAUGUUUUAACUGACGAUUUCAGAUAUAACGUUAGACUAUUUUAGAACGCUCUUAAGUGUUAUUAAAUAUAAAAAAAAAUGAAUUUCAAUAUUAAUUUUUUUUU
rnacentral:lncRNA from 1 species